GACGAACGCUGGCGGCGUGCUUAACACAUGCAAGUCGAAUGAUGAACCACUUCGGUGGGGAUUAGUGGCGAACGGGUGAAUAACACGUGGGCAAUCUGCCCUUCACUCUGGGACAAGCCCUGGAAACGGGGUCUAAUACCGGAUACAACACUCUCGGGCAUCCGAUGAGUGUGGAAAGCUCCGGCGGUGAAGGAUGAGCC
rnacentral:rRNA from 1 species